UACACUAAAAAAGUGACUGCAAAAUACCUAAUUUAUGAUAGGAUAAUUAUUUAUUAGAUUUUAUCAACAACUAUUUCUAUCGUAAUGGUUACAUCUACUAAGAAUAUAUAAGCAAGUACACUUAAAUGCCCGCGGUUCCACACACAUACUUACGCCUUUUAUCCUCUAAGAGGUAAGCAAAGGUGUAACUGUGGACCGGUGACAUGUAAUCACUUUUCGGCUUAUGUGUUUCAUCCCAUAGUGUGAUAUGGAGUGAACAUACUAACAUGAUUCUACUCACCGGCAAUCUGUAAUCGAAUUACAGAUCCUACUUACACCAAUCCGAAAGAUUUAAUUUGGUAGAAAUUUGUCCAACAAUUUUAGUGUUUAGGCGUGGGUGAUCGUGGGCUUAUUGAUAUAAACCUUAGACUUCAAAAAACCCCAAAGAAAAAAAUCCAAUGGCGUUAAAUCACAUGAUCUGGGCGGCCAAUUUUGAUCACCAAAACAGGAAAUUACACGACCAGGAAAUGACUCACGUAGUAAUUGAAUUGUUUCUCGAGCUGCAUGGCAUGUGGUGCCGUCUUAUUGAAACCACAUGCCAUCCACAUCCACAUCUUGCAAUUUUGGCACAAGAAAAUAGAUUAUCAUGUCGCGAUAGCGAGCACCAUUAACCGUUAUUGUCUGACCAGCUGCGUUUACGAAGAAGAAUGGUCCGAUGAUGCCUCCAACUCAAAAUACGCACCAAACAGUGACACGUUGUGGAUGCAUUUGUUUGUCAACAAUAACUUGUGGAUUUUCUGAACCCAAAAUGCGACAAUUUUGUCGAUUAACAAAGCCAUCAAGAUGAAAAUGAGCCUCAUGGCUGAAGAUGAUUUCCAAACCAAACUUUAAUUAUUUACAAAAUAUUGUUCAACAAUAAAAAUGCGUUGUUUUUUUGUGUAGCACUUAAAAAUUUAAGCUUUUUAAAAAUGUUAAAUAAGUAUCUGAAAUAUUUAGAAUCGUAAAAUCCAGGGAAACUCGGCAUCUUUGCAAUGUAAUGCAAAUUUUUUGUGGGGUGUGUUCUGGAUUCAAAUUCUGAAUCAUUCCGGAUGCAAAAACCCUCAGAAAACCCAUCCUCAUAAUAUCCUGAGAUAAUAUCGCAUCACGCAUGUCACAAAACUUAGAACCAUAGACAUUCAGAAAGUGUUUGCUAUGCUACAUAAUGUCCAUUAAAAACUGGAACGCGAUUACACAAUGCUGCCAGUAGUUUUGUUUUUUCGAAUGGUAAUAUUUUUGAAUUUCAAUUUUCGCGGUUUCAGUAUUUUUAUUACCUACCUACGGCGUCGAAGUUUUAAUUCGAGCUUGAAAAAAAAGUUUUACGUACCUACAAAAUUAAGAUAUCGUCUGUAAAUCUAAUCUAAUUAAAUAGUAAUCUAAGUUAUACAAACUUCCUAAUCAAGCAGCGUAACUUUCUUUUUUAUGCAAGUAUAGAUAAAUUUAAAAAUGUUUAAAACACGAGUGUCAAGACCUGAAAAAUACAAAUGUGUUAUUCGCAAAACCAAACAAUGCGUGGAUGAUAAACAGACAAGUAUGUUGGUGGAAACCAACACUGCAUACACUGGCCCUAUCACAAGGAAUAUGAGUAAAAUACUUAAAAUUAUGAAUGAGUUUGAUAUUUACGAGGUGUACCGAUGCAUGCCUCUACUUGGUGAUGAGAAAAACAAUGUACCAGACUGGGAUGUUCACAUUGUACAUUUUGCAGUAGUUUACACUGGAUGUUAACUAUAUAAAAAUAUAUAGAUGGUUAGAUAUGUGUUCUAAGGCUGUUUGUUAUAUUAUUAUAAACAUUAAUAGUACAAUGGAAACUUAUUUAUAUAGGAGCCAUUUCAUUAACUUUAAGUGCUAAGCAUUUAUACCUAUUUUCAUAUGUUAUAUUGAGUUAAUUGAUAAGUUUAAAUGUUCAUUUUGAGUUUUUAUAUACAGGGUAUUCACUUUUUUGUUAACAAAAUUAGCUAUUGAAUUUUUUUUUAUGUACACAGAACACAAAAUAUUGUAACAAUACUAAUCAGUAAUUUGUUAAAUAACAAACAAUUUUUGAUUUUUUUAACAGAAUUAUUUUUAGGAGCUCAUCAUACAUUAUUAUUUAUUAUAAGAAUCUAUAUUAUUUUUCUAUUAAGUUGAUGUUAAAAAGUUUUUUUGUUAAGUCAUAUCUUUAUGUUCCUUUAAAUAUUUUGUUUCAUUAUGACAAAGCUUAUAAAGCUAAUGUUAUGUAGACAUUUAAAUAAUUGUGUGUGCAUGUAUGUAGUCUAUGCACAAAUUAGAUUUAUUUUUUUGAAAUUCAACGGCACAAAGAAAGCCAGCAUGGAGGUGUGGAGAGUAUGCCGAGACUUCUAAGGGUUUGUCAGUGUGUAGCUGGAUAUGGGAUUAAUGUUGCACAUUGAGCUACCACAUGCCAUGUGUUGCAUCUUCCAUACAUUGUAGUAAUUCUCACACCAAGAGCACACAUUCAAUAUGCAACAUGACUAUCACAGCCAUCCUCAUUCUCUGGUAAGGCUUUUACAAAAGCCGUUUGCAUUUAUAGAUCAUCUCCCAAUCUACAUACCAGCUAAUCUUCGCUCAUAUGUAGACAAAACAAACCUUACAUAUUAUAGUGCCAAAAUUAUGUUCUUUUAUUUUAUGUUUGUUGAAUUUUCUAAUAAAUGUUAUGUCAUA
rnacentral:lncRNA from 1 species